rnacentral:rRNA from 1 species
UACGGAGGGUGCAAGCGUUACUCGGAAUUACUGGGCGUAAAGCGCACGUAGGCGGAUUUGUAAGUCAGAUGUGAAAGCCCCGGGCUUAACCUGGGAAUUGCAUUUGAAACUGCAAACCUUGAAUGCCUGAGAGGGUGACGGAAUUCCUGGUGUAGAAGUGAAAUUCGUAGAUAUCAGGAGGAACACCGGAGGCGAAGGCGGUUGCCUGGCGGUGCAUUGACGCUGAGGUGCGAAAGCGUGGGUAGCAAACAGG